UCUUGUAUUGGAGAGAAUUUAGAUAAGAGUUAUGGAGAAAAUUGAAAUAAGAAGUAUUGGAGUUAUAAUGGCCGUCAUGAUUCUAUCAGUUUUGCUGCAGCUCAAUCAACGGAUAAGCUUUUGUGCUAUACCUGGUGUAAAAUCAAAUGUCUGGAAGAACCAAUUCCUGAAGAAAAUUGUUUGAAGAAUUGUGAAGCACACUGUACAUCAUCUGAUCCACUUUAUAGUUGUAUUACUAAUUGUCAGAAGUCUAUUGCCGUAAAAAAUGGUGUUGGUGAUCUUGGGAAUAAUCUGAUGAAUACUUGUAUGAAAGAGUGUAAAAAAAUAUUUUAAUUUGUAACUACAAUUUCUGACUGAGAAAUUGUUAGAAAUAAUAUUUCCUGCUGAAUUAUGAGUAAUAAAUAUUAAUAAAAAAUAAUAUUUCUUAUUUA